rnacentral:piRNA from 1 species
GUCAUUGGUGUAUGUGUCAGUUUUCAGUCA